rnacentral:rRNA from 1 species
AGAGUUUGAUCCUGGCUCAGGAUGAACGCUAGCUACAGGCUUAACACAUGCAAGUCGAGGGGCAGCAUGGUCUUAGCUUGCUAAGGCCGAUGGCGACCGGCGCACGGGUGAGUAACACGUAUCCAACCUGCCGUCUACUCUUGGACAGCCUUCUGAAAGGAAGAUUAAUACAAGAUGGCAUCAUGAGUCCGCAUGUUCACAUGAUUAAAGGUAUUCCGGUAGACGAUGGGGAUGCGUUCCAUUAGAUAGUAGGCGGGGUAACGGCCCACCUAGUCUUCGAUGGAUAGGGGUUCUGAGAGGAAGGUCCCCCACAUUGGAACUGAGACACGGUCCAAACUCCUACGGGAGGCAGCAGUGAGGAAUAUUGGUCAAUGGGCGAGAGCCUGAACCAGCCAAGUAGCGUGAAGGAUGACUGCCCUAUGGGUUGUAAACUUCUUUUAUAAAGGAAUAAAGUCGGGUAUGGAUACCCGUUUGCAUGUACUUUAUGAAUAAGGAUCGGCUAACUCCGUGCCAGCAGCCGCGGUAAUACGGAGGAUCCGAGCGUUAUCCGGAUUUAUUGGGUUUAAAGGGAGCGUAGAUGGGUUGUUAAGUCAGUUGUGAAAGUUUGCGGCUCAACCGUAAAAUUGCAAUUGAUACUGGCAGUCUUGAGUACAGUUGAGGUAGGCGGAAUUCGUGGUGUAGCGGUGAAAUGCUUAGAUAUCACGAAGAACUCCGAUUGCGAAGGCAGCCUGCUAAGCUGCAACUGACAUUGAGGCUCGAAAGUGUGGGUAUCAAACAGGAUUAGAUACCCUGGUAGUCCACACGGUAAACGAUGAAUACUCGCUGUUUGCGAUAUACGGCAAGCGGCCAAGCGAAAGCGUUAAGUAUUCCACCUGGGGAGUACGCCGGCAACGGUGAAACUCAAAGGAAUUGACGGGGGCCCGCACAAGCGGAGGAACAUGUGGUUUAAUUCGAUGAUACGCGAGGAACCUUACCCGGGCUUAAAUUGCAGAUGAAUUACGGUGAAAGCCGUAAGCCGCAAGGCAUCUGUGAAGGUGCUGCAUGGUUGUCGUCAGCUCGUGCCGUGAGGUGUCGGCUUAAGUGCCAUAACGAGCGCAACCCUUGCCGAUAGUUACUAACAGGUUAUGCUGAGGACUCUGUCGGGACUGCCAUCGUAAGAUGUGAGGAAGGUGGGGAUGACGUCAAAUCAGCACGGCCCUUACGUCCGGGGCUACACACGUGUUACAAUGGGGGGUACAGAAGGCAGCUACACGGCGACGUGGUGCUAAUCCCGAAAGCCUCUCUCAGUUCGGAUUGGAGUCUGCAACCCGACUCCAUGAAGCUGGAUUCGCUAGUAAUCGCGCAUCAGCCACGGCGCGGUGAAUACGUUCCCGGGCCUUGUACACACCGCCCGUCAAGCCAUGGGAGCCGGGGGUACCUGAAGUGCGUAACCGCGAGGAGCGCCCUAGGGUAAAACUGGUGACUGGGGCUAAGUCGUAACAAGGUAGCCGUACCGGAAGGUGCGGCUG